AAGCCGACGGGCCGUGAUAUCCUCACCGUACUUACUGACGGAUGCACAAUCUGAUCUGUACAUACCAACAUUUUCUGUGUUGCACGUUUGUUGGGGUCUUGGUCCAGAGCAUUCAUACAAAGACGGACAUGGUCUUGUCACGGGGUUUGCCUUUAAUCGCGCUGGGAGCCGUGCAGUGCGUGUGCGGCAGUGUUCUCGUCAGUGUGGAUGCUGUAGCCUACGCACAGUUCUACCUGGACAUCCUGCACUAUGCAUCCACGGUCCUAGGUGUGUACUACUUUAUCGCCGGUCUCCUGACCAUCACCGCCGGGACGACGGUGAGGGUGAACAGCUACCAGAAACGCUGCUGGAUCAUCACCAGCCUCGUCCUCAACAUCCUCACCAUCCUCAGCGCUUUCGGUUUGACGAUUUUGUUGGCGCUAUUGCUGACCAUGCUGCUGGAUCCGGACAACGCGGAUCUGGCUAAUCUGGACCGGUACAUCAUGGGGCCGUCAUGGAAUAUCGCCAACUACGGACUGACCCUGGUGGCGACACAGCUGGCACUGGCCGGGAUGAUGUUCGUCAACAGUCUGGCUUCGACGAUUCUGAUUGGGAAGACGAACAAUAAACUGCGGCAGGCUAGUAUGGCGCACCAGAUGACGCAGGUCACGCAGUCGCAUGCCGCCUACAGAUUAUAAGACUGAGAUUUUACGGACAGCCAAGAGCUUCCCUUGUUGUUUACUAUGGUCGUUUUCGUUUAUGAAGUGUGUGCUACCUGUGUUUUGCUCGAGAAUUCGGAUUAUUUUUAAUACUCUUCUAAUUUCUAAUUUUAUUUAACUUUUGGAAGAUAUGUUUUAUGUUUAAUUACGCUGUCCCGAAAAACUGCAUUUACAGAUCGUAUCGCCGAACUUCUAUUUAUAUCUAUAUAAUAUAGGUAUCGCUGCACAUUACUCAUAUACGUACGCUGAUUACAAGUUCCAGUUCAAACAUUUUGACUUCCCUACUUUUGAUAGUCGCUCUUAUCGCACAGACAAAUUUUGCACAAUCGCCAAUUGUUUCUGCAACAUAUUGUUUAUUCUCAAAUUAAAGAGUGCGAAGAUAACAGCAUUACUGACCACGCGAGCUUAGAUAUGCUGAUACGGUUAUAUGGAAUAACUUUACCGUUAAAAUAUUGUACGCGCGCUCCUUGGAAACUGUGUUGUGAUCGUCGACUUCUCGCUUUCUGGACAUACCUAGGAUACAUCGGCAGUACAGGAUCCAGACAGCAAUAUGGCUUCCGAUUUACCGACGGCUCUUCACCGGCCGAAGCAGGUCAUGUGUUUCGGUGUUCUACAGCUGCUGUUGGCUUGCGUCUUGAUAGCCAUGGAUGUUACUACGAUGAUCGUAACCGGUAUCGUGAUGGGUCUGGUGCACACGGCCUUCUGCGCCGGAAUCUGGCUGGGCGUGUUCUACCUGAUCACCUCUUGCUUCGGCAUCUGCGGUGGCCGUCCCCUGCCCGUCGGCCAGUCCGCACACGGCCGGCGCUGCUGUCUGUGCACCUCGGCCGUGAUGAGUCUGCUGUGCAUCAUCAGCUCCGGCGGCCUGGUCAUCUACCACUCCACCUUCAUCAACUACUACGAUGAGUGGCGCGCCUACUACGUCAACUACGUUCACCAGUACUGGGCCUAUCUCAAUCUGGCCGACGUGGACAUCCUGACGCCAACCGGCUACAGCAUCAUGGCCGGUUAUUUGAGCGUCUAUCUCAUCUUCACGUUGUGCUGUCUGGCACAGACCGUGCUGGCCUUCGUCGAGUUCUGCACGAUUCGCAAGACACCGAUGACGACGAUUACGCGGUUGGCCAUGAAAGAGGUGCCCGCGGAGCCCAAAGUAUGAAACUGGAAUAAUGGGUUCACGGUUUAGUUGAUCGCUUAUUUAUACAGCUCGCUCAAUCCGUAGAAGUACCGUAAACGUACGCCAGAAACCGAUGCCGGUUAACUAACGGCAGUUCAGUCUGCACAGUGCACUCUGCUGACGCUUACGCUUCGCAUAGCGGUGUGACCUUUAUGGUGAUCUGACUGUUGGUUGGGCAUGUAGCUGUUUUUCUUAUCAUGUUGUGUAAUGGUUAGAGCAAAAUUCAGUGCGGACAAAAACAUUAUGUCAAACGUUUCAUUGUAUUCCUCGGUACGCGCUAUCUGCGUCGACAAAGCGCGCUGAUUCAGUUACGGUAGUCGGUACUAAGUAAACGCAGUU